rnacentral:rRNA from 1 species
UACGUAUGGAGCAAGCGUUAUCCGGAUUUACUGGGUGUAAAGGGUGCGUAGGUGGCAGUGCAAGUCAGAUGUGAAAGGCCGGGGCUCAACCACGGAGCUGCAUUUGAAACUGCGCGGCUAGAGUACAGGAGAGGCAGGCGGAAUUCCUAGUGUAGCGGUGAAAUGCGUAGAUAUUAGGAGGAACACCAGUGGCGAAGGCGGCCUGCUGGACUGUUACUGACACUGAGGCACGAAAGCGUGGGGAGCAAACAGG